AACGAACGCUGGCGGCAUGCCUAACACAUGCAAGUCGAACGAGACCUUCGGGUCUAGUGGCGCACGGGUGCGUAACGCGUGGGAAUCUGCCCUUGGGUGCGGAAUAACAGUUAGAAAUGACUGCUAACACCGCAUAAUGACUCCGGUCCACAGAUUUAUCGCCCAGGGAUGAGCCCGCGUCGGAUUAGCUAGUUGGUAGGGUAAAAGCCUACCAAGGCAACGAUCCGUAGCUGGUCUGAGAGGAUGCUCAGCAACACUGGGACUGAGACACGGCCCAGACUCCGACGGGAGGCAUCAGUGAGGAAUAUUGGACAAUGGGCGAAAGCCUGAUCCAGCAAUGCCGCGUGAGUGAUGAAGGCCUUAGGGUUGUAAAGCUCUUUUACCCGGGAUGAUAAUGACAGUACCGGGAGAAUAAGCCCCGGCUAACUCCGUACCAGCAGCCGCAGUAAUAC
rnacentral:rRNA from 1 species